CCACCCCAGUGACAGGAGAAACGCUGUCCUUGAACCGUAACCUCAAACAUAAAAAAGGUCAAUUAGAGUAUCAAUUUAAGGGCACAGAAUGUUUUGGGUUAUUGCAUGUGUACUGUAGUAAGUUAGAAGUGAGACCUACAAACAAGAAUGUUGUGGGAUGAAAAACAGGAUUCCUUACCGAUGUUGCCGAAACGAACACGAGGAACGACUGAUCGUGACGUUCACGUUUUUACGUUGCAUCAUAUUGACACCCCUUGUAUCAUUUAAACUAUAGUUCUAGAAAGCGAAUAGUCUUUCUUUAACUGGAAUGGAUGAUGGAACUACUGCUGCGUGACUGUCAGACAGUACCAAUGGAUACAGUACAAUCAAAGCUUAGAUAGAGUGUAUCACAAGUCAAACAACCAUGGACAAAAUCUCUCCCAGUGUGUGUUAAUUGAUUGGACAAUAGUCAAGAUGAUAAGGAUGUUGGAAGAAGGAUAUGGUGGGUAGCUCCCAGCACAUGGUUAUGCCGUUUUCAGUGAUGACAAGAACUCCUGCAGGCCUUUUACGGAGUUUGAAAACAAUCAUGUUUUGGUUGAUUCCUCAGUUGAUGAGCUCUAUUGCUUUUCACAUUCAACAUUACAUUAGGUUCAGUAUUAAACAUCACAUUAGAUUACAAAUCCACUUCCAUACUUUUCAUUUCUAUAGGUAAGGAUUUUUACCAUGCGAGAUAUGAGGAUUUAUUAGAAUUACUUUCAAAGAUUGUGUAAGUUUUUCAAGCAAAAUGUUUUUUAUUGAUCUGUGUUUUAUUUUCUUUGUUUAGAAAAUAAAUAAUGGUGGAUCAGAAAAAGUUUUUGCUUAGACAAGAUGCUGAGGCUGAACACCAUUACUCCAAUUGAAAAUGAAUGGACACAGUUAAAAAGUUCAGAAGAGACUUGUAUUGGAUCACCUUGCAACCUAUUACUUUCAAUUGAGACACUCAUAUGGAUUGCAUAGAGAUAUGUAAUAAUGUAUUUUAGAACAUACAAUCUAUGGCAACAAGCAUCUAUAGAAAAACGGCUUAUCUAAUGAUGAUAUGUUGUACUAAUAAUAUUAACUCUUUUGCUAAUCUUUAUCAUAUAG